GCACCCUGAUCAGCCAUGCCGCGUGAGUGAUGAAGGCCUUAGGGUCGUAAAGCUCUUUCGCCUGUGAAGAUAAUGACUGUAGCAGGUAAAGAAACCCCGGCUAACUCCGUGCCAGCAGCCGCGGUAAUACGGAGGGGGUUAGCGUUGUUCGGAAUUACUGGGCGUAAAGCGCGCGUAGGCGGACUGGAAAGUUGGGGGUGAAAUCCCAGGGCUCAACCCUGGAACUGCCUCCAAAACUAUCAGUCUAGAGUUCGAGAGAGGUGAGUGGAAUUCCGAGUGUAGAGGUGAAAUUCGUAGAUAUUCGGAGGAACACCAGUGGCGAAGGCGGCUCACUGGCUCGAUACUGACGCUGAGGUGCGAAAGUGUGGGGAGCAAACAGGAUUAGAUACCCUGGUAGUCCACACCGUAAACGAUGAAUGCCAGUCGUCGGGUAGCAUGCUAUUCGGUGACACACCUAACGGAUUAAGCAUUCCGCCUGGGGAGUACGGUCGCAAGAUUAAAACUCAAA
rnacentral:rRNA from 1 species